rnacentral:rRNA from 1 species
GCUGAAACUAAGCAUAUCAAUAAGCGGAGGAAAAGAAACUAACAAGGAUUCCCUAGUAACUGCGAGUGAAGCGGGAAAAGCUCAAAUUUAAAAUCUGGCGGUCUCUGGCCGUCCGAGUUGUAAUCUAGAGAAGUAAUGCCCGUGCUGGACCGUGUAUAAGUCUCCUGGGAUGGGGCGUCAUAGAGGGUGAGAAUCCCGUCUUUGACACGGACUACCAGUGCAUUGUGGUAUGCUCUCAAAGAGUCGAGUUGUUUGGGAAUGCAGCUCAAAAUGGGUGGUAAAUUCCAUCUAAAGCUAAAUAUUGGCGAGAGACCGAUAGCGAACAAGUACCGUGAGGGAAAGAUGAAAAGAACUUUGGAAAGAGAGUUAAACAGUACGUGAAAUUGCUGAAAGGGAAACGCUUGAAGUCAGUCGCGUUGGCCGGGGAUCAGCCUUGCUUUUGCAUGGUGUACUUUCUGGUUGACGGGUCAGCAUCAAUUUUGACCGCUGGAAAAAGACCUGGGGAAUGUGGCAGCUUCGGCUGUGUUAUAGCCCCUAGUCGCAUACAGUGGUUGGGAUUGAGGAACUCAGCACGCCGCAAGGCCGGGUUUCGACCACGUUCGUGCUUAGGAUGCUGGCAUAAUGGCUUUAAGCGACCCGUCUUGAAACACGGACCAAGGAGUCUAACAUGCCUGCGAGUAUUUGGGUGGAAAACCCAAGUGCGUAAUGAAAGUGAAAGUUGAGAUCCCUGUCGUGGGGAGCAUCGACGCCCGGACCAGAACUUUUGGGACGGAUCCGCGGUGGAGCAUGUAUGUUGGGACCCGAAAGAUGGUGAACUAUGCCUGAAUAGGGUGAAGCCAGAGGAAACUCUGGUGGAGGCUCGUAGCGAUUCUGACGUGCAAAUCGAUCGUCAAAUUUGGGUAUAGGGGCGAAAGACUAAUCGACCAUCUAGUAGCUGGUUCUGCCGAGUUUCCCUC